GCCCUGAUACCCCAACGGCAGAGGGAAUGGUCUCAAACACCAUCAAGUGUGGGUUCGAAUCCCACUCAGGGCA
rnacentral:tRNA from 1 species